AUUUGAUUCGAUUCCUCAAAUCACACAACCCACCGUGUGUUCUGAGCUAGAGUACUAAAUGGAUGAGGAAGAAUGUCUUAGAAGUACCAGUAUUGGAGGAUAUCCAUGCUUUGAAAGAUGAAGCUGUUAUGUACCAAAAGAAAGAACGAGGAUAUUCGCAUGACAUAGCUAGGCUUUCAUUGCAAACCUAGUUCCAAGCUUGAAGGCUGCGGCAACUAGCAAGUAUCAUUUUUAAUCAGAUCCUAUGAUGUAACACUUGAAUUUACCAUCUUUCCCAAGUUUUGCUCUCGAAUUCCAAAAUUUACACUACUCAUUUCCCCCUGUAGUUUUCUUUCAUUAGUGUCUUCUGUAUUACAUUUGAUAUUUUAACAUGUUCUUUUCCACUUAUA